GUGUCCGAAUGGUCCAAUGUGACUUGUCUGAAAUUGGUAACGCUGAUGUGCCAAUUCUGUCUGUAGCAUCUGAACCGUUUGGGCUAAAAACUAAUAUGACCCCACUGUGAAAACGGGAUACUCUCACGAACACAAUGUUGUCCUUUUCUCCUGUCACGGGACUCGUCUGAAGAUCCCGGGGAAAUCCUGGAGGGAGUUUUGGCGAUGGAUACGUCAUUUCGAACAAAUAGAUUAAGGCCUUUUGACAGAAACUUAAACAGGAAGCUCCUGCGCUUAGGUCUGUUCAACGCUGGUCCGACCAAUCGGAUUCCACGCUUCAAGAUUGCUUCGAUCACAUGGACUGGGAUAUGUUCCGCAUUGCGGCGAACAACAACAUUGACGAAUACGCUGAGUCGGUGAGCGGGUUUAUUAGCAAGUGCAUCGGCGAUGUCGUACCCACAGCGUCU
rnacentral:lncRNA from 1 species